GCGUGCCUAAUACAUGCAAGUCGUGCAGGAAAAGCGUAACUUGCUCCCGGAUGUUAGCGGCGGACGGGUGAGUAACACGUGGGUAACCUGCCUGUAAGACUGGGAUAACUCCGGGAAACCGGAGCUAAUACCGGAUAGUUCCUUGAACCGCAUGGUUCAAGGAUGAAAGACGGUUUCGGCUGUCACUUACAGAUGGACCCGCGGCGCAUUAGCUAGUUGGUGGGGUAAUGGCUCACCAAGGCAACGAUGCGUAGCCGACCUGAGAGGGUGAUCGGCCACACUGGGACUGAGACACGGCCCAGACUCCUACGGGAGGCAGCAGUAGGGAAUCUUCCGCAAUGGACGAAAGUCUGACGGAGCAACGCCGCGUGAGUGAUGAAGGUUUUCGGAUCGUAAAGCUCUGUUGUUAGGGAAGAACAAGUGCGAGAGUAACUGCUCGCACCUUGACGGUACCUAACCAGAAAGCCACGGCUAACUACGUGCCAGCAGCCGCGGUAAUACGUAGGUGGCAAGCGUUGUCCGGAAUUAUUGGGCGUAAAGGGCUCGCAGGCGGUUUCUUAAGUCUGAUGUGAAAGCCCCCGGCUCAACCGGGGAGGGUCAUUGGAAACUGGGAAACUUGAGUGCAGAAGAGGAGAGUGGAAUUCCACGUGUAGCGGUGAAAAUGCGUAGAGAUGUGGAGGAACACCAGUGGCGAAGGCGACUCUCUGGUCUGUAACUGACGCUGAAGGAGCGUAGCUUGUGGGACAACAAACACGCCUACCCUGGGUGUUUCCAGC
rnacentral:rRNA from 1 species